GGCGGGGGUGGUGAAGUGGUUAACACACCAGAUUGUGGCUCUGGCAUGCGUGGGUUCGAUCCCCAUCACUCGCCU
rnacentral:tRNA from 1 species